UUGGAAGCGUCUAUAAAAAUGCAAGAUCGCCUCUGAGAGUGGGGAAACUCUCUCUACGAUGGCCAUACGGGUGAUUAACGCACUGAAUAACCUGUCCUUUGAGAAGGGGAUCACUAGUCCGAAAGGAUAGCUAAUACCCUAUAUUGCCUCUUUGUCACUAAGGCAAAAGGUGAAAGCCAGGCUGUCUAAAGCUUCGGCUCAAAGACGGGAUCGCGUCCUAUCAGGUAGUUGGUGGGGUAAUGGCCUACCAAGCCAAUGACGGGUAGCUGGUCUUAGAGGAUGAUCAGCCAUAGUGGGAUUGAUACACGGGCCGCUCCCCAUACGGGGGGCAACAUUGGGGAAUCAAGGGCAAUGGGCGCAAGCCUGACCCCGCAAUGCCGCGAGAAGGAAGAAGCCCUUCGGGGUGUAAACCUCUGUCAGAUGGGAAGAUGGGACCUAGGGGCUAAUACCUCACGAUUUUGACGGUACCAUCAAACGAAGGGACGGCUCACUACGUGACAGCAGUCGCGGUAAU
rnacentral:rRNA from 1 species